AGUGAACGCUGGCGGUAGGCCUAACACAUGCAAGUCGAACGGCAGCACAGUAAGAGCUUGCUCUUACGGGUGGCGAGUGGCGGACGGGUGAGGAAUACAUCGGAAUCUACUUUUUCGUGGGGGAUAACGUAGGGAAACUUACGCUAAUACCGCAUUCGACCUACGGGUGAAAGCAGGGGAUCUUCGGACCUUGCGCGAUUGAAUGAGCCGAUGUCGGAUUAGCUAGUUGGCGGGGUAAAGGCCCACCAAGGCGACGAUCCGUAGCUGGUCUGAGAGGAUGAUCAGCCACAAUGGAACUGAGACACGUUCCAGACUCCUACGGGAGGCAGCAGUGGGGAAUAUUGGACAAUGGGCGCAAGCCUGAUCCAGCCAUACCGCGUGGGUGAAGAAGGCCUUCGGGUUGUAAAGCCCUUUUGUUGGGAAAGAAAAGCAGCAGGUUAAUACCCCGCUGUUCUGACGGUACCCAAAGAAUAAGCACCGGCUAACUUCGUG
rnacentral:rRNA from 1 species